UACAGUAAAAACCUACAAUGAUUUGACUUUUUUUAUUUUUGUGUUUUCACUCACGGGAACCCUGCGUCUAUUUUUCGCGCGUUUUGCUCUUGCAACUCGCGGCCAUCAGCCAACACGAUGGUUUGGCAAAUGUUUUGCCUUUUUUUUCGUCGUGAAAACCAAGAAAGAUCGACACACUAUAAUAUAAAGAUGUACAAACGAUGGACAGAAGGAUAAACAAUGGAAUUUGAAAGAAGGUGAAUCUCACUUACAAGAUAGACUCCGAGAAAGCUACCAGCUUAGAAGCAUGAUGCUAGGGCAGGAUUUAUGUAAGGCGAUUGUAUUAAUGCAGCUCAGCAAAAAUUAACACAACCUGAGUAACAAACAGAUAGAUAAUAAUUUUACCAAUGAAAAUUUUCUAAAAAACUGAACCAGAAUAAUAUAAUAAACUUUGUUGGUAAAAAUAGGUUUUCUUUUUUUUUUUGCACACAAAUAUCAUGCUUAAUGUACCGUGAACCCCCUAAUAAUUUAAUAUGGGGAUCUAGUGUGUCUAUGGUUCUCUACAAGGAGGUUCAGUGUUUCGGACCUUUCAGAAAAGGGUACAUUUCAAAGACUAUUAGCCGAAAAAGCAAAGAAGAGGGAGUUUCUAAAACUUUUCCGCUAAUAUUUGCAAUAUUUCUACUAGAAAAAUUAUUUAUUCACCUUGGCAAAUACAAUAUACACUAAACUAGCGUAAUCUUCUGAUAUGCUUUUAUAUAGAAUGUAUAGUGUUUUAAUGUAUAGACUUAAAUUCUGAAGAGAAUAAAAAACACCCAUUUUGCUGUA